CAAAGUGUUCCCCCUUGUUCUUCAUGAACUUCACCUGACGGGACAGGGACAGGUGAGGGACAGGUGAGGGACAGGUGAGGGACAGGUGAGGGACACCUGGGACAGGUGAGGGACAGCUGGGACAGGUGAGGGACACCUGGGAUGGGUGAGGAACACCUGGAGCACGUGAGGAACCCCCCAUAGAACCCUGAACUGCUCCCCCUUGCUCUUCAUGAGCUUCACCUGCUGGGACACGGACAGGUGAGGACACCUGGGACAGGUGAGGGACAGGUGAGGGACACCUGGGACAGGUGAGGGACACCUGGGAUGGGUCAGGGACACCUCGGACAGGUGAGGAACCCCCUAGAGAACCCCCAGG